rnacentral:rRNA from 1 species
GAUGAACGCUAGCUACAGGCUUAACACAUGCAAGUCGAGGGGCAGCACGGAGAUAGCUUGCUAUCUUGGGUGGCGACCGGCGCACGGGUGAGUAACGCGUAUCCAACCUGCCCAUUACUCUGGGAUAGCCUUGCGAAAGUAAGAUUAAUACCGGAUGUUGUUAAAAACCCGCAUGAGUUUUUAACCAAAGAUUUAUUGGUAAUGGAUGGGGAUGCGUGACAUUAGGUAGUUGGUGAGGUAACGGCUCACCAAGCCGACGAUGUCUAGGGGUUCUGAGGGGAAGGACCCCCACACUGGAACUGAGACACGGUCCAGACUCCUACGGGAGGCAGCAGUGAGGAAUAUUGGUCAAUGGACGAGAGUCUGAACCAGCCAAGUAGCGUGCAGGAUGACGGCCCUCUGGGUUGUAAACUGCUUUUAGUUGGGAAUAAAAAGAGGGACGUGUCCCUAAUUGUAUGUACCAUCAGAAAAAGGACCGGCUAAUUCCGUGCCAGCAGCCGCCGUAAGAC